rnacentral:misc_RNA from 1 species
UUUUAAUCUCUCGCGUAAUUUCUCGUGUUUGAUUUUAUCGCGCCUUCUUUUUUUAAUUAUUCGAGCACUUUCAUCACUUGUGCUAAAAUUUCUCUGAUUAUUCUUCCUCUAAAUUUCACGUAUCUGUCGCACUUCAGCUCCUCACUACUGUUUCACACUAUUUCCUCCGAUCUCCCAGAUCGUUGUCUUCGCAUGCAGGUAUCUCCUAUCGUUACCCAACCGCGACUUCGAACUUCACCGUUUUAACUACUCGAUCGUACUACUAUACAUUCGCGUUACUACGAUGUACAUCUAGCUAGCUGGUUCAGGUAUAUCUCUCGACACGAUUGACCGAUUAUCUUUCACGUUCGAACGCCUCAUCCCGGACACGGUUCAGCUUUGUCCAGAUCCGGAGAUCGGCUAGUGGUCGCGUGGUCGCGUACAUUCGAUCGAUCCCGUGUCGCACGCCGUUCAGACGACCGUCCCUUCCAACGACGAUCCACCGGUACCGCAUAUCACCUGCACCACCAGGAAAGUACAACACGGACAAGUACAGAGAAACGUGUAAAUCGUCGUUUCCUUCGUAUUUCCUUCGAUCGGACGUCGACGAAUUUCGAAAAAAGCAUCGAGACGAUGAUGAGCACGUGGUUCACUCGCUGAACCUGGAAAUCUCGAUGAUC